GGCCGCGGCGUCGGUAUAACCGCGGUAAUUCUGGGGCUAAUACAUGUAACAGUCUAGCUGUCGUGGGCCGCUCCCUGGAGCGCGCCCGGGCCUUGCCGGCUGACCACUGGGGGGCUCGCCCCCUGGCGUGAUGCGGGCAAGUACGCCUUACUGUAGCCACGCUACGGAGAGCGGGGUGGGCUUCAGACCUAUCAACUAGGCGGCCGGGGAUGGUCCGGUCGCGGUCACAACGGGUACAGAGGAUCAGGGUUCGGUCCUGGAGAGGUAGCCUGAGAAAUCGCUACUACUUCUAAGGAAGGCAGCAGGCGCGCAACGUUCCCCAUGGGGACACCCUGAGGACGUGAAGGGACAUACCAAUGCCCGGCCCAGAAAGCCGGGCAAUUGGAAUGGGGGACCUUUAAACCCCGCACCGAGUAACAAUUGGAGGACAAGU
rnacentral:rRNA from 1 species